AUGCUACACACCAUGCCACCGGAGCUCAAGGACAUGGAAGAGCUCGUGGAGGCGAUCCUCAUCCGCCUCCCGCCCGACGAGCCUGAACACUUGGUUCGUGCCUCCCUCGUCUGCAAGCCGUGGUGCCGCCUCAUCUCCGACCAUGGCUUCCGCAGCCGCUACCGUACCUUCCACAAGACACCCCCCAUGCUUGGCUUUCUCCACAACUGGCCGCACCACCAAGUUUCUCCCGUGCGAUCCCCGGCACCACCAAGCUUCAUCUCCACCACCAAGUUUCUCCCGUGCGAUCCCUGGCACCGGCACUCGCACCGGUAUGACCUUUUUGUGCAAGACUGCCGCCACGGCCGUGGCCUCCUUGCGUACGAGGACAAGGAUGAGAAGCAGUGCUACCUGGUCGUCUGGGACCCCAUGACGGGCCACGCAACGAAGCUAUGGAAGCCACUCCCAUAUGACAGGUACUCUAGUACAAGAGCAGCGGUGCUUUGUGCUGUGGACGGCUGCGACCACGGGGCUUGCCACUUGGGCCCAUUCUUGGUGGUCUUCGUCAACCUUCACGAGGAGGGGUUGGCUACGGCCACCGUUUACUCGUCAGAGACAAACACUUGGAGCUCUCCGGCCUCCCUUCACCUAGGUUUUAGAAAAUAUGAACUCUACUUAUCUGACAUGGCCACAUUGCUCACCGGUGACGCGAUCCACUUUCUCUUUGCGCGGGAUGACCUCGCUGGUCUUCUCAAGUACGACUUGGGCACGUCUUGCUUGUCAGAGGUUGAGUUGCCGGCGAUUGCGAUGUACGACGACUACUCUCCGGUCCUCAUUGCACUGGAGGGCGAUGGUCGGCUGGGGAUUGCAGUGCUGGACUAUAUGAACAGCAUCUACUUGUGGUGGAGAGAGGAGGGUCCCGACCAAGUUGCAACAUGGACCCAACCGACAGUCAUCGACCUCAAGAAUCAUCUCCAUCUUCGCCAUCCAGAUGCACUAAGUCAGCUGGUCGGAUCUAUUGAAGGCACGGUCAUAAUUUUUGUAAUCACAAAUACUGGCACCUACAAGAUUGAUCUCAAAUUACUGAGUUCCGAGAAGCUGAAGCUCACGAGCAAGUUUUCUGUAUCUGAAGACGAUUUACAUACCCACUUUCCCUAUUUAAGCUUUUACAAUCCACCAGUGGCACAAACGGAGAAACUGGCCGAUUCAGGAGAAGGUGAAACAGGAAGCAGCGACGAGGAAUCAGUAGAAAGUGAAGCUGGAAGCAGCGGCGAGGAAUCAGGAGAAAGUGAAGCUGGAAGCAGCGAGGAGUAUUCAGAAGAAAGUGAAGCUGGAACCAGCGACGAGGAAAUGGAAGAAAGUGAUGUUGGGAGCAGCGAUGAGGAACGAUGCAAGAGGAAGUGCAGCUGGAUACAGCGAUGA
rnacentral:rRNA from 1 species